rnacentral:rRNA from 1 species
GCUUCAAUUAAGCAAUCACAGCGAUGUGGUUGGUCGUGUGACAACGUAAGGUUGUUGCGGACGAGAGAUUUAGAUAACGCACGCAGUGCGGUCUUUACCGGUUAGUGUGCUGAUAU